GUCCACGCCCUAAACGAUGUCAACUGGUUGUUGGACGGCUUGCUGUUCAGUAACGAAGCUAACGCGUGAAGUUUACCGCCUGGGGAGUACGGCCGCAAGGUUGAAACUCAAAGGAAUUGACGGGACCCGCACAAGCGGUGGAUGAUGUGGUUUAAUUCGAUGCAACGCGAAAACCUUACCUACCCUUGACAUGUCUAGAAGUUUCCAGAGAUGGAUUCGUGCUCGAAAGAGAGCUAGAACACAGGUGCUGCAUGGCCGUCGU
rnacentral:rRNA from 1 species